AGAGGGGGGAGAGAGAAAGAGAGAGACAGAGAGAGAGGAUUACCGUCCCUUAAACUGCGCUCGCCUCACCCCAUCCGCAUCACACGCGCUCACCUGCGCGGGGACUUUCGUCAAGCGCAACUUUUGCUUUCUGUGGGGGAUUUCGAGCCUCUCGUUGCCCACACCCAGGUGAUAUGGAUUAACUGCACUUCUUCGAGGUGCGGCGGGGUUUUUUGCGGCGCUUUUCGAAGUUGUUCCACGUACAGGACGGUCGGGACGGCCCGCCCUGCGCUCAGGAGGGGAUUAGAGAGCGGAAACCCGCUACUCGGAGAUGAAGACACGUCACCCUGGUCUUCUUCAGUGGAGUGAUGGGCGAGCAGCGAGGGGAGCGGGACUGUAACUGGCACCUUCAUGGAGCCCUGAUACCCAGGGCAGAGAGCAGGUAAAUGGAGGUGCAGGACAGGAGCCGCUCCCCGUCUCGCAGGACCAGCCGAGUAGAGCAGGUAGUGGGACGAUGGCUGAGACGGUCCAGAGACUUGGGCAGCAGAUCUCACUCUUUGAGCAGGGAUCGGGCUGCAGCAGAAGGGAAGACAGCAGAGUCCAGUAGCUCUGACC
ensembl:lncRNA